rnacentral:rRNA from 1 species
UCAUUAUUGAAUAAACUGGUUAGGUUGUUGCUGGCUCCUAGGAGCAUGUGCACGCCUAUACCUCUUUCAACCACCUGUGCACUCUGUGUAGAUCUUUUGGGUACUUGAGGACUGCCACUUGUGGCCGUUCUCGUAUCUACUAGAUCUAUGUUUUAUAUAUCAUACCCCGAAUGUAUUAGAAGGUUGUCAAUAGGCCUUAUGUGCCAUUAACAAAAUAUAAAUAACUUUCAACAACGGAUCUCUUGGCUCUCGCAUCGAUGAAGAACGCAGCGAAAUGCGAUAAGUAAUGUGAAUUGCAGAAUUCAGUGAAUCAUCGAAUCUUUGAACGCACCUUGCGCUCCUUGGUAUUCCGAGGAGCAUGCCUGUUUGAGUGUCAUGAAAUUCUCAACCUCUCUGGCUUUUUUGCGAGUUAGUGAGGCUUGGACUGUGGAGGUUGCUGGCUUCUAUUUAGAAACUGGCUCUUCUUAAAUGUAUUAGCAAAACCUUUGCUGAUCAUGUUCGGUAUGAUAAAUAUCAUCUAUACCAAUCGUGAUCAGUUUCUUUUUAUUAAGGGGGGUGUUGCUUCUAAUAGUCUGAUUCAGACAAUAUUUUUACGAACUUUGACCUCAAAUCAGGUAGGA